GCACAAAGAGAGGGUUACGCAUGGGGAAAUUCACCAAGGCACAGUUAAUCGUGCAGUUGGAGGAGAAGGACCACUCUGAGGAGCAAAUUCCUGGCCCAGAUGGGGCUACAAGAGGCUCUGAGAGCAGCUGGAGCAUCAGCCAGGCAUCCCCGGGAGUCUGGUCCCCAACCAGACGAUGGUCUUCACGAGCGGGUUCCCCAUCAGGGGAUCGGAGACAGAUUGGAUGGGAGCAGAGCCCAAGAGAGCGAGAGCCUGAGGAAAAACUGCAGGAGAAGCAGCAGCAGCAUGGACUGUCGAUGGUGGAGCGGAGAGACAUAGGGGGCUUCCCAGGGGUCAGUGGGGAAACAUGCCUGUGGGGGCGAGACCCUGGGACAGAGAGAACUGUGGUGGUGCAGCCCCAGAUGCUGAGGGACUGUGGGACCUGGGUGAAGUUCCCUGGGGUGAAGCCCCUCGCCCUGCCUAUGGCCCAGAUCCCUGUGCAGACCCAGGAGGGGUCAGGCUGGCUGGUGGUUGGGGUUCUCCAGGAUAUCGGCUCGGAGGCCCUGUUGGGGGGUGACUGUCUCCCCUUGGGACAGGAUCCAAGCCCCGCUCCUGUAACGGCCGAGAAUUUGAAUUCAAAUCCAGGGAACCAAUUGGCUAGGAUGGAAAUGGUCAGUGAAAAUGCAAAUGACCUGGCUGGCAGGGGGGAGGGGCUGCUGGGCUCAGGAUACCUGCCUACCUGUAACCAGCCCCCUGGGGCUAAGUGGGAGGGAGAGAUGAUUCCCGGCCCCCUGCACAGCGGAGAUGGGACUCACGCUGGCUCUGAUGCUGGGACCAGUGCAGAGAGCUCGCUGCCUGCCCCCACUGGGACAGCAAGGGCAGCGCUGAGCACGGGGGGAGCUGAGACCCCAGCUGAGUGGGGGGACACCCAGGCAGGGCAGGUCAGCUGCCAAACAGGUUUGCCUGGUCCAGACGUGCUGCUGGGAAGUGAUUACACAGCAGGGAGGGAGCUACCAGGGACAGGGCUCAGGGGGGCUGUAACCCCAGGCCCAGCCAGCGAGAGGGAGCAGGUCCCACUCCCUGCCCCAGCCGCUGAAUCCCAGACUGAGCUGCAAAGGGAUCCCUCCUUGGAGAAGCUGAGGAAACUUGCUGGCCACAGCGCUGCAGACCCCCUUGGGGAAGGCUGCAGGGACAGAGUCCUGCAGGAGAAGGGAUUCCUGUACCGGGAAUGGGCUCCCCAAGGGGAAGUACAACUGGGGGGAAUCGGGAGGCAGCUGGUGGUGCCCCAGAAAUCCACAGGGUUCUUCCUGUUCAAGCUGCUUAAUGGGAGGAGAGUGAGGGGACCCCUGGACCCGGAAAGGAAGGAUUGGGAGGAGAAGGGGGAAGAUCCCCUGGGGGAUCUCUUCCCUGAGGUGGGAGCCAAUCUCCCCAUCAGGUGUUCCCCAUUCAAAGUCACUGGGAAAGCAGCCCAAAACCUGGAGAGAGAUGUCAAGGACCUGCUGGCUUUAGAUGUGAUCCAGCCGUUUUACAGCCCAUGGGCCUCACCCGUGGGGCUGAUCCCCAAGGAAGACAGAAUAAUCUGGUUUUGUGGGAGCUAUCGGAAGCUUAAAGCCAUCACAGUGUCCAGUGCUGACCCCAUGCCUAGGCCUGGGGAAAUUCUAAACAAGCAAAGGGCGAUGGAAAACUUGGCCCUGGCAGACACUAAUAACAUGUGCAUCUUUAGCCAGACCUGGGAGAAACAGGUGUCCCAGGUAAAAAGGGGGCUGGGCUGCCUCAAGAAGGUGGGACUGAUGGUAAAAGCUGAAAAGUGUAAGGUGGGGACAGCAGAGGUGUUUUAUCUGGGCCACAAGGUGGGGAGUGGCGGCCCAAGCCCAAAGCUGGCCAAGGCCAAGCUGAUGGCUCUUAACCAAGGGAGCCCAAAUCACAGACCAGAAGGCUGGGAAAAAAANCC
ensembl:lncRNA